AACCGGGACAUGGUGGUGGACGACAAUGUUAGGAAAUCUGGAGAUGUCAUCGGGGGCCUGGGAAGAGUUAUCUUUUAUUUUUAACGACUUUCCCACCCUGAAAUCAGUUCAACCGGAGAUAGGGUCCAACAUAUGGAAGAGCACCACACGUCUUGCGGUGUUUGGUGCCCCCUCGGUGGCCAUUGAAAAUAUGGAGAACCGAGUACCAUCCAUGCCCGAUCGUACUCAUAUAUGCCUCCUU
rnacentral:ncRNA from 1 species